AAACACAUUUGCUUUUCACAGCUGUAUUGGGUUUGUGUGCCAAGGCUUUUGACAGCAGGGAUGCUUUAAGGUAGCUUCUGUGAGAAACUGCAAGAAGCUUCCCCUGUGCCCAACAGUUAAUCCCAGCCAGCUGCAGGAUGGACCCAAUGCUGGCCAAGACCAAGCCCUUCAGUGAUGAUGGUGGCACCUCUGAGAUAUAACUUUUUAGAAGGAGGGGAAGAGGAGAAAGGGAAAGGUGUGGGAGAAACCGCCCUGUAGACCCCAAGGUCAGUGAAUAUGGAGGAAAAGGAAGUGUUGCAAGUACUGGGACAGUAUGUCCCCAUGCUCUCUCAAAGGCACCCGUGCUGAAGCAGGUCAUGAAGAACUGCAGCCUGUGGGAAGGACCCAUACUAAAAAAGUUUGUGAAGGACUGUGUCCCAUGGGAGGAAUCCCAUGCUGGAACAACAAAAGAAAGCAAGGAUGAAGGAAUGGCAGAGACUACCUGACUACCUACUGCAGCUCCUCUUCCCUCUCCCCUUGCAUCACUGGAGGGAAAAGGUUGACCAUGAGAAGACUUUUAUCAGAUUUUCUCUGCCCUGCCCAGCUGAGGAGAAGAGGGAUAGGGCAGCUUUGGUAGGACACCUGAUGUCCAGCCAAGGACAACCCACCACAACAGCUGGUUCUCCAUGUGCAGCAGAAAAAUGGUGUUUUUCUUGUCAAGCUCUGAACUGCAAUUAAAAACAGCAGCAACAACAGAUCUACAUUCCCACCCAGGCUGGUGUCAUCUCCAGACUUCCUGAAUGUUCACUCAAUGAAUGAUGAGAAAGAACUCCAUUUCUUGAUUAGAAAAACAGUACACCUCUACUGCAAUGCUGGGAACCACCCUUGCCAAUGAAGGGGUGAGGAGGAGCUGGAGCAAAGCUUGAAGAAGUUGAGAGAAGGAGGGAAAAGGAUGAAAUCAAAAAAUGUGCCUGGGAAGCUGAAUACCUCACUGAGCAAAUAUCUCUGAACACUCCAGGCUCAGACCAUGUACCCCUACGUGUUUGUUCCUCUGCAUUUCAGAACACUGUGUGCAGCUCUGAUCACUCAGUCAUGAGAAGAACACUGCAGAACUAUAGAAGGGAAUAUUCAAAGAAGGGCAGCAAGGUUGGUGAGGAUGAAAAUAUUUGGACUGUACGUCUCUGUGAGGAAAAAAACAAGAAGACACAUAAAGAAAUACAGGAGAUAAUGAGUGAGACGGAGAAGAGAAUCCUGACCAGAAAGGACUAAUGGACCAUCUCUGUACAAAGAAAAGCAAGGUAUCAUCUCAUUUUCCCACCCCUGAUAGAGGCUGUUUUUCCAAGCUCCCACAAUGAUUCAGACCAGUUCAUCAGCCCCAAGGAUGACAGCAACAGGGAGAGAAGUCUCACUUCAUUGCCUCUCCUCUGAAGUUAUCAGGAUUUCUAUACAUUCAGCAUGGGACUAGAAGCUAAUAAAGGCAGAAACCAUCUUCAUGAUUAGAGCACAGAUGAACUGGGAAUUGGAAGAAACAGUACUACCACCUUCAGCAGAAAAACCUCCAAGCACUGCACAAACAUGCCUGGAUGAAGUCCCACAGUGCAAUCAUUAGAUGCAAUUCGCCUCCUAUGGCACACUGGAAAAUCACACACAACAGCCACAUGUCCUGCUGAGGGCUCAAAACAAGUCAGCAAGGGCUCUGAGAUCCGACCUAGGAAUUACAGGCUCCUGCUCCAGCCACUACAGUAUCGGCAACAAAGGAAGAUGAAAGUUUCAGAGCUACCCUGUGGACACAAAUAUAGCAGCAGGGCACUUUUCCUGCUAGUCUGAGCAGGUAGGCACAGGUGUAAUCACUACAUACAGACCCCCCCUAGCUUUCAGUCAGGACUUUUCACCUGGAAAAGCUUCAAUACGUGUGAAUAAGCUCACAGCAUCCAUCCAUUACAGUGCAAGCCACUUCCUCAGGCUUGUGACUAAAGGUGUUCUUCUUUCAGGAGAAAUACUUCCAGUGUCUGUCAGACAAGCAUUAAUGCACAAAAAUGA